rnacentral:lncRNA from 1 species
GUUCGAUUCACAGCUAGCCAUCUUUCUGCUGGAUUAGUAAGUAGUUUGUACUGUCUCUUGCUUGAUAUUUGACUGUGUUAUCAAAGUUGUUGACUCGCUAGUUUGUCAUACUCGAGGAAAGCACAUUCCAAUAGGUUUUGCUAGGCUUUAGGGUGACCAGAUUUUAGUUUUCUAAAAAAGAGGACUUCGUCGCUGGGGGAGGGUGCGGGGUCCAGCAUGCUAAACACUAGCAUACCCUGCCUUCUCCCCUGCGACGAAGUGUCCUCUUUUUCACAAACUCAAAUAUGGUCACCCUAUUAUAACACUUUUGGACAUUGAUGCUAGGUUUACGUCCUCUUUUUUGUCCAGGUAAAAGAGGACUUGUCCGCCCGGGUAAAAUAGGACGUCUGGUCACCCUAGCUUAGCCACUAUCAAGACAUCUCGUUAGCGAUAUCAGACAUCUUGUUAUAUAACACGCUUGGACAAUGAUGCUAGUAAUAAUCGAGUAGCUAGUAAUAACGUCGUAUACACUUCUUUGUAAUGUUAUUGUGAUCGCUAUCUGGCUAACUUGCCACCCAAGCUCCACUAGUCUCAGGAUAUUCCAGAUAUUUCCAAGGAAUUUAGCGAUAGUUGACUUUGUCUGUUAGCAUUCCCUUACAGCCAGUUGGUCUGUGGUUCAUGUUUCGUUAGCUUAGUAUGCUACUUGUGUGUUACCUGACUUGAAUGCCGUGAUUUGUGAAAACAUAUAUAAAGAUGUAGCGGCAAACGUACUGAAUUGGUUCUUUCUAUCAAAAGCGGUAGGGAAUGUCUACUCCCAGCAAGGGACAUGCACAGCCACCACCGCCGCCUGUAUCUAGUAUUUCAGAAGAGUCCGACCGAGAUGGGUAUGUAUCUUAGAACUGCGUUUCUAAACCAGCCAUGCAGGACAUUGUAAGUUGUGACUGACUUAUUUAUCUUUUGAAUCAGGGACAAAUAAUUCGCUAUGCAAGGUGUUCAACCGUUGGGCAAAGAAACCGAAGCGAUUGGUGUGCUAGAAUCUAGCAUGCACUCCUUGAGCAUUGCUGAAGAGCAGCAGCAUGACUCUCUGGAUGAGGAGGAGGCGAAUUAUAUGAGGAAUAGCAUUAUUGACAUGGAUGAUUGCUGGGAGGAUCCUAAUCAGAAGGGCUUGGAAGAAGAUUGGGACAGCUCUGAUGAAGACUAUAGUCCUUUUCUUCAUCUACGGUAUGU